rnacentral:tRNA from 1 species
GCGCGGGUGGUGGAAUUGGCAGACACGCCAGCUUGAGGGGCUGGUGGGAGCAAUCCCUUGCAGGUUCAAGUCCUGUCCCGCGCA